CACCGCCCCCUGGCGGCACCUGGAGGAAGCGCCCGCCCACGAACACAUCUCUCUCCAAGCAGACAGCGGCGCUUGCCUAUUGUUUGCUUAAGGCUGCAUCCCCAAUGGUUUGGACUCCAACUCCCAGAGGACCCUGAUACUUUGGGAUUUUGGGACCCCUAAGUCCAAAAAAAACCUUGAAGAUCAGGGUUUGGGAAAGGCUGUACUUUGACACCAUGAGGCCCGUAAACCUCCACCUCCCCAAGAUGACUUUUCAGGCUUGUGUCUCCUAAUCUGGUACAAGAUCUCAACUAGGCCCUGCAGUGACCAUCAUUCUGUAAAGGUUCUUCACAGACAAAAAGACAGAAUUACUUGAAACCCAGUGCCAACCAACUUGACCAGCUGCUAUUCAAGUACCUUUAGUCCUGGUGGUCCAACGUUUCCUGGCAUACCUGGUAACCCCUUUGAUCCUUGAGUUCCAGGAUAUCCUGCCAGUCCAGGUAUGCCUGGGCUUCCUCUAGUACCCUUGAUAGAGAGCACAUAUAUACUGUUAAAUCAGUCACAUGUUCCAUUUGUUUUCAGCAUAAUAAAUGCAUACUUUAAGCAA